UGUUUUACUGUCCGUGAUGAAGAGGCGA
rnacentral:piRNA from 1 species